rnacentral:rRNA from 1 species
UACGAAGGGGGCUAGCGUUGUUCGGAUUUACUGGGCGUAAAGCGCACGUAGGCGGGUUGUUAAGUCAGGGGUGAAAUCCUGGAGCUCAACUCCAGAACUGCCUUUGAUACUGGCAACCUAGAGGCUGGAAGAGGUUAGUGGAAUUCCCAGUGUAGAGGUGAAAUUCGUAGAUAUUGGGGAGAACACCAGUGGCGAAGGCGGCUAACUGGUCCAGAUCUGACGCUGAGGUGCGAAAGCGUGGGGAGCAAACAGG